ACCUAAUUGUCUUCUUCUUUACUCUGAGUUCGGCGGCGAGUACGACGAUCGACUGUGCUCGAUUUUCCUGUAACGGAUAGCGACUUUAGUCACAUUAAUACAGACGCCCACUAAGAGCCUUUCAAUAGAUCUCUAAUCUCUGGUAUAAAUAGGUUAGUAUUCCUUUUCUGUUGAUCGCCCUCUCUUCAUCUCUCUACUACUUAUCUCUUUUAUUCUCAACAAUUGCAUGUGGUUCUUCAUUUCUAUGGGAUGAGAAGAAAGGUGAACUUAGGUGGAUUGAUAUGGUUUUGGUGGACUAGAAGUCCACGCUGAUUCAAGCAUCUAUUAGCGUCCACCGGUUGAACACAUUCCAACAACUGCUCAGAGAAAGAUGGACUUUUGAGCUUAGUGUAUUGGGCGUCACGCGGAGUAAUCAGUACUUUAAACUGACCACCGCACCCGUUUUAAUUAGAUUCACGGAACAAACCACCUUCGUCGAGAUAACAGAAUCUUUAUGGUCCGCAGCAAUGACGAACUGAUGUCACUUGCUAACACGAACAUCCACUUACCAGAUGUGUUGGUGGAGUCAAAACCACAUACAAUGAUGAAACACAGACAAUCCAGCUGAUAUGACCUACAUACGUCUUGAACGUACAUUAAGUUACAUAUGGUUCUUGCCAAAACGAAAACACCGUUGGUGUUCUAAGGUCAUGUGUUCUAUACACAACUUAUCAGCUAUCUGAACAGACGAUGCAAUACAUUAUUUAACCCAACAAUCCUAGACUACUUACAAACUAUUACUACUACAGGAACCGGGUGGAGUUUUCAGUCUUUGAUGGGUCAGAGUCAGCUGUCUUUGUGGCAUUUGAUGGUGAGAUGUGUAAGCUAACCAAUGCACAUCUUAUGGUGCAGGACCCAGGUGUAGAGGACCACAACCAAAGAUCUCUCCCACAGUGUUUAAAGAACUUGGUUGGCAGUACUUUCACCUUCCAGUUGAGGCUAUCCCCAUUAAACUUCUCUCCAUUCCUUAACCAAUAGUUUGAAACAGUUCUAUGUAUAUUGUUUAUGUUGUUUACUUUUUUAUAAUGGUUCUUUGGCAGAGGGGUGAUAACAACCCAGGAGAUGACAUGCCCGAAGCUAGAGCAGUGGCUACUAAGCCCUCCAAAACCAUCACCAAAGUUCCCCCUGCAAAAUCCGUUGGUUGGGUGCCUGUGGAGAGAUGCAGCUGCUCAAAGAGGCGUCCAUGCAACUGUUGCUGGUGAAGUAACUGAUGAGGAAGAAGGAGUGCAGGAGGAUAGGCACAUUGGAAAAAAACCACAAAAUUCUUAGUUUUCUAGCUUAGCGAGUGGCCAAGUCUAUAAACCCUUGGAAUAAUGGUUUAAGAUUUCAUUGUUUCCUUGCCUCUUUUCGGUGCUGGGUUUUUCACAUAUUAUUGUUGCUUGGUCACUAUGUUUCCUAUGGGGUCAACUUUUAAAAUAAACUCACAUUUUGAUAGUUUUCUGCAUGUGUUUCUUAUUCGUGUUUCAAAUAGCUGGAAACGUUUAAAUACAAACUCAUCAUCACCUUGCAACCCAGCUUGAGAAUAGAUGGUUGCUCACAGUUCUCUUUUU